GACGUAGGGCGCAAGCGUUGUCCGGAAUUAUUGGGCGUAAAGAGCUUGUAGGCGGUUUGUCGCGUCUGCUGUGAAAAUCCGGGGCUCAACCCCGGACUUGCAGUGGGUACGGGCAGACUGGAGUGUGGUAGGGGAGACUGGAAUUCCUGGUGUAGCGGUGGAAUGCGCAGAUAUCAGGAGGAACACCGAUGGCGAAGGCAGGUCUCUGGGCCACUACUGACGCUGAGAAGCGAAAGCAUGGGGGAGCAAACAGG
rnacentral:rRNA from 1 species